rnacentral:misc_RNA from 1 species
GAAAUGCGAUAAGUAGUGUGAAUUGCAGAAUUCAGUGAAUCAUCGAAUCUUUGAACGCACAUUGCGCCCCUCGGUAUUCCGUGGGGCAUGCCUGUUCGAGCGUCAUCUACACCCUCAAGCUCUGCUUGGUGUUGGCGUCUGUCCCGCCUCCGCGCGCGGACUCGCCCCAAAUGCAUUGGCAGCGGUUCCUUGCCCCCCUCUUUGCGCAGCACAUUGCCAUUCGAGGCGGCGGCGGCCCGCGUCCAACAAGCUCAACCCCCCCGUCUUUGACCUCGGAUCAGGUAGGGAUACCCGCUGAACUUAAGC